rnacentral:rRNA from 1 species
CCUACGGGUGGCAGCAGUGGGGAAUAUUGCACAAUGGGGGGAACCCUGAUGCAGCAACGCCGCGUGGGUGAAGAAGUACUUCGGUAUGUAAAGCUCUGUUAGCAGGGAAGAAAAUGACGGUACCUGACCAAGAAGCCCCGGCUAACUACGUGCCAGCAGCCGCGGUAAUACGGAGGGGGCAAGCGUUAUCCGGAUUUACUGGGUGUAAAGGGAGCGUAGACGGCAAGGCAAGUCUGGAGUGAAAGCCCGGGGCUCAACCACGGGACUGCUUUGGAAACUGUGUUGCUGGAGUGCAGGAGGGGUAAGCGGAAUGCAUAGUGUAGCGGUGAAAUGCGUAGAUAUUAGAAGGAACACCGGUGGCGAAGGCGGCUUACUGAACUGUAACUGACGUUGAGGCUCGAAGGCGUGGGGAGCAAACAGGAUUAGAUACCCUAGUAGUC